rnacentral:rRNA from 1 species
GCCCCAGUAACGGCGAGUGAAGCGGCAACAGCUCAAAUUUGAAAUCUGGCCCCCAGGGUCCGAGUUGUAAUUUGCAGAGGAUGCUUUUGGCGAGGUGCCUUCCGAGUUCCCUGGAACGGGACGCCAUAGAGGGUGAGAGCCCCGUCUGGUUGGACACCGAGCCUCUGUAAAGCUCCUUCGACGAGUCGAGUAGUUUGGGAAUGCUGCUCUAAAUGGGAGGUAUAUGUCUUCUAAAGCUAAAUAUUGGCCAGAGACCGAUAGCGCACAAGUAGAGUGAU